CACAUUGCAAGUCGAGCGCACCUUUCGGGUGAGCGCGACGGUUAGUAACGCGUGGGAACGUACCCCUUUUCUAAGGAAUAGCCCACCUGGGAAACCGGGUGAGUAAUACCCUUAUACGCCCUUCGGGGGAAAGAUUUAUCGGAGAAGGAUCGGCCCGCGUUAGAUUAGAUAGUUGGUGGGGUAACGGCCUACCAAGUCUACGAUCUAUAGCUGGUUUUAGAGGAUGAUCAGCAACACUGGGACUGAGACACGGCCCAGACUCCUACGGGAGGCAGCAGUGGGGAAUCUUGGACAAUGGGCGCAAGCCUGAUCCAGCCAUGCCGCGUGAGUGAUGAAGGCCUUAGGGUCGUAAAGCUCUUUCGCUGGGGAUGAUAAUGACAGUACCCAGUAAAGAAACCCCGGCUAACUCCGUG
rnacentral:rRNA from 1 species